CAAUAGCGUAUAUUUAAGUUGUUGCAGUUAAAAAGCUCGUAGUCGGAUUUUGGCUGAGAACGAUCGGUCCGCCGUUAGGUGUGCACUGAUUGGUCUCAGCUUCCUGGUGAGGAGGUGUGCUCCACGGCCACUUAGUCACCGUGGUUACUUUGAAAAAAUUAGAGUGUUCAAAGCGGGCUUACGCUUGAAUAUAUUAGCAUGGAAUAACACCAUAGGACUCCUGUCCUAUUUCGUUGGUCUCGGGACGGGAGUAAUGAUUAAGAGGAACAGUUGGGGGCAUUCGUAUUUCAUUGUCAGAGGUGAAAUUCUUGGAUUUAUGAAAGACGAACUUCUGCGAAAGCAUUUGCCAAGGAUGUUUUCAUUGA
rnacentral:rRNA from 1 species